GACGAACGCUGGCGGCGUGCCUAAUACAUGCAAGUCGAACGAACCGCGACUAAGUGCUUGCACUAAGUCAAGGUGAGUGGCGAACGGGUGAGUAACACGUGGGUAACCUACCUCAUAGUGGGGGAUAACAGUCGGAAACGACUGCUAAUACCGCAUAGGACAUGGGAUCACAUGAUCCAGUGAGGAAAGGUGGCGCAAGCUAUCGCUAAGAGAUGGACCCGCGGUGCAUUAGCUAGUUGGUAGGGUAAAGGCCUACCAAGGCGAUGAUGCAUAGCCGACCUGAGAGGGUGAUCGGCCACAUUGGGACUGAGACACGGCCCAAACUCCUACGGGAGGCAGCAGUAGGGAAUCUUCCGCAAUGGACGCAAGUCUGACGGAGCAACGCCGCGUGAGUGAAGAAGGUCUUCGGAUCGUAAAGCUCUGUUGUUAGAGAAGAACAGCGCGUAGAGUAACUGUUAUGCGUGUGACGGUAUCUAACCAGAAAGCCACGG
rnacentral:rRNA from 1 species